AUUGAACGCUGGCGGCAGGCCUAACACAUGCAAGUCGAGCGGAGCGGCGGACGGGUGAGUAAUGCCUGGGAAUCUGCCUGGUAGGGGGGGAUAACGUCCGGAAACGGGCGCUAAUACCGCAUACUAUCAGAUGAGCCUAGGUCGGAUUAGCUAGUUGUUGGGGUAAAGGCCUACCAAGGCGACGAUCCGUAACUGGUUUGAUAGGAUGAUCAGUCACACUGGAAUUGAGACAAGGUCCAGACUCCUACGGGAGGCAGGAGUAGGGAAUAUUGGACAUUAGGCGAAAGCCUGAUACAGCCAUGCCGCGUGUGUGAAGAAGGUCUUCGGAUUGUAAAGUACUUUAAGUUGGGAGGCGUUACCAACAGAAUAAGCACCGGCUAACUUCGUGCCAGCAGCCGCGGUAAUAC
rnacentral:rRNA from 1 species